UGCGCGUANUGGCGAACGGGUGAGUAAUACAUCGGAACGUGUCCUGUAGUGGAGGGAUAGCCCGGCGAAAGCCGGAUUAAUACCGCAUACGCUCUACGGAGGAAAGGGGGGGAUCUUAGGACCUCUCGCUACAGGGGCGGCCGAUGGCAGAUUAGCUAGUUGGUGGGGUAAAGGCCUACCAAGGCGACGAUCUGUAGCUGGUCUGAGAGGACGACCAGCCACACUGGGACUGAGACACGGCCCAGACUCCUACGGGAGGCAGCAGUGGGGAAUUUUGGACAAUGGGGGCAACCCUGAUCCAGCAAUGCCGCGUGUGUGAAGAAGGCCUUCGGGUUGUAAAGCACUUUUGUCCGGAAAGAAAACCUUUGCCCUAAUACGGUGGGGGGAUGACGGUACCGGAAGAAUAAGCACCGGCUAACUACGUGCCAGCAGCCGCGGUAAUACGUAGGGUGCAAGCGUUAAUCGGAAUUACUGGGCGUAAAGCGUGCGCAGGCGGUCCGCUAAGACAGAUGUGAAAUCCCCGGGCUUAACCUGGGAACUGCAUUUGUGACUGGCGGGCUAGAGUAUGGCAGAGGGGGGUAGAAUUCCACGUGUAGCAGUGAAAUGCGUAGAGAUGUGGAGGAAUACCGAUGGCGAAGGCAGCCCCCUGGGCCAAUACUGACGCUCAUGCACGAAAGCGUGGGGAGCAAACAGGAUUAGAUACCCUGGUAGUCCACGCCCUAAACGAUGUCAACUAGUUGUUGGGGAUUCAUUUCCUUAGUAACGAAGCUAACGCGUGAAGUUGACCGCCUGGGGAGUACGGUCGCAAGAUUAAAACUCAAAGGAAUUGACGGGGACCCGCACAAGCGGUGGAUGAUGUGGAUUAAUUCGAUGCAACGCGAAAAACCUUACCUACCCUUGACAUGUAUGGAACCUGGCUGAAAGGUCGGGGUGCCCGAAAGGGAGCCAUAACACAGGUGCUGCAUGGCUGUCGUCAGCUCGUGUCGUGAGAUGUUGGGUUAAGUCCCGCAACGAGCGCAACCCUUGUCCCUAGUUGCUACGCAAGAGCACUCUAGGGAGACUGCCGGUGACAAACCGGAGGAAGGUGGGGAUGACGUCAAGUCCUCAUGGCCCUUAUGGGUAGGGCUUCACACGUCAUACAAUGGUCGGAACAGAGGGUCGCCAACCCGCGAGGGGGAGCCAAUCCCAGAAAACCGAUCGUAGUCCGGAUCGCACUCUGCAACUCGAGUGCGUGAAGCUGGAAUCGCUAGUAAUCGCGGAUCAGCAUGCCGCGGUGAAUACGUCCCGGGUCUUGUACACACCGCCCGUCACACCAUGGGAGUGGGU
rnacentral:rRNA from 1 species